rnacentral:rRNA from 1 species
UGGGGAAUAUUGGACAAUGGGCGCAAGCCUGAUCCAGCAAUGCCGCGUGUGUGAAGAAGGCCUUCGGGUUGUAAAGCACUUUUAUCAGGAGCGAAACGCUGUCGGCUAAUACCCGGCGGAACUGACGGUACCUGAGGAAUAAGCACCGGCUAACUUCGUGCCAGCAGCCGCGGUAAUACGAAGGGUGCAAGCGUUAAUCGGAAUUACUGGGCGUAAAGCGUGCGUAGGCGGUUUCUUAAGUCUGCUGUGAAAUCCCCGGGCUCAACCUGGGAAUGGCAGUGGAUACUGGGAGGCUAGAGUGUGUCAGAGGGUGGUGGAAUUCCCGGUGUAGCGGUGAAAUGCGUAGAGAUCGGGAGGAACAUCAGUGGCGAAGGCGGCCACCUGGGACAACACUGACGCUGAGGCACGAAAGCGUGGGGAGCAAACAGGAUUAGAUACCCUGGUAGUCCACGCCCUAAACGAUGCGAACUGGAUGUUGGUCUCAACUCGGAGAUCAGUGUCGAAGCUAACGCGUUAAGUUCGCCGCCUGGGGAGUACGGUCGCAAGACUGAAACUCAAAUG